rnacentral:lncRNA from 1 species
GGCCUCGAGGGUCCUGGCGGGAGCCCACAGCCUUCACCUCCCCACCCCACACACCGGGGACCCGCGGGGGCCAUCUCCGUGUGUCCCCCUGCUCGGGUGGCGCAGUAGCAGGGCGCUCCCGGCAGGCAGUGGGGACGGCGGGGGGGUGGGGGUUCCCCACAACCUUAACCAGAUACCAGAGGAAGCCAGGAGCCCGCGAGCCCGCAGCGCCACGCUCGCCCGGCAGAGGGCGGCCAGCUCGCGCCGCGCCGGCUCUGGGAAGCGGCGCCGGGACCCAGGGAGGGUCUGUGCCCUGGGUAGCUGGUGCCACCGGUCAGCACGGCCCGGGCCCUGCCUGCGACACGGAGGGAGGCCUGGGGCAGCGCAGGGACCGCGGCAGGCGGGACGCCUGCAGGUGUGCCCAGCCCAGAGCCGGGACCCAGAAGGAGCUGCCUUUGGCAGGAAGGGGCCCUUAGGAAAUGGGGAGACAGGGCCGGCAGCGGGGCGGGCACAGCCGCGCCUCCGGGGCAGUUCUGGGCCAUCGGGUCUCAUGAGGGAGGCCCCAGGCACUCGCCGAGCUCCUGCUGCUCGGAUCUGGCGGUCACCGCAGGAAGAGGCUGUAUUAGCAGAGGUACCACAUCCAGAAAGGAGGAGGGGUCACUCCAGUGAGGCAGAAGCUGGAGCCGGGCGAGGAGGGUGAGCACAGAGGGCCGGAGCGCCUCGGAGCAGGACACCCAGGAGCCACGGGCAGUUCCUGAGCCGCCGCUGCCCGGGCUGGCGUGGGCCCUGCAGGGCGAGUGACCCGGACAGGUGGGUGGCAAGGAGGGCCGGGGCUGCUGGGAGGUGGCAGGUGAGUCCAAGCUGGGCGGAAGCAGACCUGGUCCAGGGCCAGCCUCUCCCCCCGGCCCGGGGGACCCCUUAGCCCUGGAGGGAGCCCCCAGGGCACACUGUGUCCUUGAGCUACGACCCCCUCCCCAUGGCCACGCCCGUACCGGGAGCGCAGGAGCAGCGACAGGUGCGCGGACCGCCAGGCCUAGGGGCGCUCCUCUCCGCCUCAGUUUCCUCACCUGGGAGUCAGGGAUGAUGGUAACGUGGCAGUGAGACGCAGGAGGCCCAAAAGCUUCACGGGCCUACGAGCUGCCCCGGAGCGGCCCAGCUGGAAAGAGCCGCCUGUGCCAGGGCGCUGGGCGGGGAGAAUCCAGGUGGGGCUGGUUCCGCACAGAGGCCGCUUUGCAAAGCUCAGGUCACCAGAGCACUGGCCUGGAGAGCCUCCUUCCCAGAAGGCUUCCUGGAGGAGGCGGCAGUGGAACCCUGGAGGACAACAGGAUUUGAUCCCAGGACCCAGCCGGGAAUUCCAGGCCUCUGCGCAGGUGAAUGUGGGCUCGGGUGGGCUGGGGAAGGGGGAGCCGGGAAGGGGGGACGUGAGGGGCUUGGGGCGGCCGUGGGGGGUAGGGCCGGGGUCACAGCAGGGAGCAGCGUUGGGGACACGCGCUGCCGCGCGGCGCAGGUCGAGUCGGUCGGCGCCGCCUUG